UACCAAGGUCUCGUGGUGGUUACACAUCAAAUUGCAAGUUUGAAGAUGAGCCCAAAAAGGGCUCCGGG
rnacentral:tRNA from 1 species